AUCUGAAAUUAUUUAAAUCUUAUGAAACCAGGGCAGAAUUUGAUCAAAAGAACUUCACUCUGCUGCUGAAGAACGUGCAGGAGAGAGACAGUGGGAUCUACACAGCAGAGAUAACUGAUGAAGAAGGACAGCGAAGACAUGUUGCUUCCUACAGGCUCACAGUUCAAGAGGCCCCGCCCACACCCGAGGUGGGAGUGGCUUUACUCUCCUCUGCUGGAGGGUUCUGUAAGGUGUCAGUGAACUGCUCUGCUAAAGACACCUGGGCCAGCUACACCUGUGACCACGCCCACUGCACACGGGUAGCAAAUACAACCUCACCGACAGGAGUCAAGAUCACUGUCACGGCAACCAAAGAGGCCAUCUACUGCAGCAGCAGUAACCGGGUCGGCACAAAGACGCGAUCAGAAUCCAUAAAGGACUUCUGUAAGUCUGUCUGUCUGUGCAUAAAACCUGCAGGUCUGUCUGUGCUCUUCUCUUUCCUUGUGUUCACAUGGAAAACAUUCAAAAUAGUAAACUAACACAAUUCAUCUUCACAGGUUUAAACCACAGA